GUGGGGAAUUUUGGACAAUGGGCGCAAGCCUGAUCCAGCAAUGCCGCGUGCAGGAAGAAGGCCUUCGGGUUGUAAACUGCUUUUGUACGGAACGAAACGGUCCGGGUUAAUACCCUGGGCUAAUGACGGUACCGUAAGAAUAAGCACCGGCUAACUACGUGCCAGCAGCCGCGGUAAUACGUAGGGUGCAAGCGUUAAUCGGAAUUACUGGGCGUAAAGCGUGCGCAGGCGGUGCUGUAAGACAGGCGUGAAAUCCCAGGGCUCAACCUGGGAAUUGCGCUUGUGACUGCAGUGCUGGAGUACGGCAGAGGGGGAUGAAAUUCCGCGUGUAGCAGUGAAAUGCGUAGAUAUGCGGAGGAACACCGAUGGCGAAGGCAGUCCCCUGGGCCUGCACUGACGCUCAUGCACGAAAGCGUGGGGAGCAAACAGGAUUAGAAACCCGAGUAGUCC
rnacentral:rRNA from 1 species